UAAAUUGCAUGCUCUUUUCGACCAAACUCGUCAUGCUGCCCCAGUACACACCUCAUAGACCCCUCGAGGGCCGUCAAGUACAGAUUAACAGUCUAUCUCCAUAGGGAGGCAACAGAAUCAGAGGCUCCUGCAACUUAUUCUUUUAUUUUUCAAUGCCCCUUGGCAAUCAUUAUUCCACCUGACCGUUUGAUCUUUUUUCUUGAAUGGGUUCCCACGUGGCUGUUAGGUGAGAUGUGAACCAUGACAUGUAGUUCAAUC
rnacentral:lncRNA from 1 species